GCCUGGGUGGCUCAGUCGGUUAAGCGUCUGAUUGCAGCUCAGGUCAUGAUCUCAGUCUGUGAGUUCAAGCCCCACUUUGGGCU
rnacentral:tRNA from 1 species